GUCUGCAAAACGUUAUAUAGGUUCUUACUCUAAAGGAGAAACUAGAAAAAUAUCAGCAACCUCAAGUCCGUAACUUUUAUAGGGUAUAAGGUCUUGUGGUGCAACAGUUAAUUAGAUGUGACCUUAAAAUGAACAGCUGAUAUAUACAUCAUAGGAAAUAAGAGACCAUGUUGACUUUCGAAAAACAUUCUUUAAUUCACAAAGGUGCACAAAUUCCGUGUUUACUUGAGUUAUAGUUAACUAUACAGCUCUUUGACAAUCAGCGGUAGACCUUGCAACUGAGCGUAUUCGUCUACCAGCCGCGCAAUAAACUGAUAGCUCGAUUAAAGGCCCAAAUCGUCUUCGCAGAAAAGAAGUGCGCAUGCGUGAUAUCACGUAUUUGGGGAAUAUCACGCACGCGCACUUCGUUUCUGCCAAAAGUUGCAAUGAGCUGUUUGACGCACACUAAGGAAUUUUUGUCACGAAUGACAGAAAAUAUCAAACAAAUUUGAUAUUUGUUGUUCACGACACGAGUGACAAAAAUACUGAAUAUUUUCCCCGCACCUUAGGAUUUUUGUCGCACGUAAUUGAUCACGAAUGACAAGUGUGCGUGCAACUUGCACUAGUGUGCACCGGGCUUUAUGUGCGCCAAUUAAUGCUAUUGAACAAUGGACAGCAGUAAUUACUUACAGCGAUUAAGUCCUUGAUUCUGUCCUUGAAGAUUAGUGACAGAUUACGUUAAGGCCUCAGUUAUAAUAGGGUAGAAUAGUGCAACGAGAUUUUAAGCAAUACAAACUACCUAAAAGGUGUAUAAAAAGCGGGACCUUUAGAAAUCAGAAUUAACCUAACAUCAGCAAUUUCGCUUUGUUUCAGUGAUGUGAAUACAAUUAGAAGCUAUCUUAAAUGCCAAAAUGUAUAAGAUUAUGUGCUUUUCUGAAGUUUCUGAAAGCUAAAGGUCUUGUUUUAGAAUAGAAUAGAAUAGAAUAAUAUAAUUUGCACACACAUUAUAAAUACAAGAUACAACAAUUUUCUACAUUAAGUAUUAUAAAACAAAAAGAAUUAUGUGCAUAGCCACCCGUAAGUACUGUAACCAUAGGGGCUAAUCGAGACAGGUGGCUAUCAAUUUUUAGUAGAAUAUAUACAGUAAACAAUUUUUAAAUAAAUGUGUUACAAGAUGG